rnacentral:rRNA from 1 species
GAUGAACGCUGGCGGCGUGCUUAACACAUGCAAGUCGAACGGAAAGGCCUCUGCUUGCAGAGGUGCUCGAGUGGCGAACGGGUGAGUAACACGUGGGUGAUCUGCCCUGCACUUCGGGAUAAGCCUGGGAAACUGGGUCUAAUACCGGAUAGGACCACAUUUUGGAUGGUGUGGUGGAAAGUUUUUUCGGUGUGGGAUGAGCUCGCGGCCUAUCAGCUUGUUGGUGGGGUAAUGGCCUACCAAGGCGUCGACGGGUAGCCGGCCUGAGAGGGUGUACGGGCACAGUGGGAGUGAGAUACGGCCCAGGCGCCUACGGGAGGCAGCAGUGGGGAAUAUUGCACAAUGGGCGCAAGCCUGAUGCAGCGACGCCGCGUGGGGGAUGACGGCCUUCGGGUUGUAAACUCCUUUCGCUAGGGACGAAGCGUUUUGUGACGGUACCUGGAGAAGAAGCACCGGCUAACUACGUGCCAGCCGCCGCGGUAACAC